rnacentral:rRNA from 1 species
AUUGAACGCUGGCGGCAGGCCUAACACAUGCAAGUCGAACGGUAGCACAGAGAGCUUGCUCUCGGGUGACGAGUGGCGGACGGGUGAGUAAUGUCUGGGAAACUGCCCGAUGGAGGGGGAUAACUACUGGAAACGGUAGCUAAUACCGCAUAACGUCGCAAGACCAAAGUGGGGGACCUUCGGGCCUCACACCAUCGGAUGUGCCCAGAUGGGAUUAGCUAGUAGGUGGGAUAAUGGCUCACCUAGGCGACGAUCCCUAGCUGGUCUGAGAGGAUGACCAGGCACACUGGAACUGAGACAAGGUCCAGACUCCUACGGGAGGCAGCAGUGGGGAAUAUUGCACAAUGGGGGCAAGCCUGAUGCAGCCAUGCCGCGUGUAUGAAGAAGGCCUUCGGGUUGUAAAGUACUUUCAGCGGGGAGGAAGGCGGUGAAGUUAAUAGCUUCACCGAUUGACGUUACCCGCAGAAGAAGCACCGGCUAACUCCGUGCCAGCAGCCGCGGUAA